AUGUCCUCCUCCACGGCCUCCUGGUCGCGCUACGGCGCCGUCCCGGCCCCGCCCCCGCCGCCGCGGCCCGACGCGAACGGCGACUUCGAGGCGGCGCCCUCCUCCUCCUCCUCCCCCGCCUCCCCGCCGGCGGCGACCGCGGCGGAGGCGGGGGUGGCCUUCUUCUCGCGCGCGGGGGCCAGCGCCGCGGCCGCCGCGGCCGUGGGCCGGCCGCGCGCCUGGCGGGAGGUGCUGGACCACACGGCCUUCUCCCGCCCGGAGACCUGCGGCGAGGCGCGCGCCCGGGCGCGCCGCAACCUCGCCUACUUCCGCGCCAACUACGCGCUCGCGGCGCUCGUCCUCGUCUUCCUCGGCCUCGUCUACCGCCCGCGCUCCAUGCUCGCCUUCCUCGCCCUCUUCGUCGCCUGGCUCGCCCUCUACUUCGGCCGCGGCGGGGACGCGGGGCCGCUCGUCUGCCUCGGCCGCGACGUCGACGACCGCGUCGUGCUCGCCGUCCUCUCCGCCGCCACCGUGCUCGCCGUCGCGCUCACCCGCGCCGGCCUCAACCUGCUCGUCUCCCUCGUCCUCGCCUCCGCCCUCAUCGGCGUGCACGCCGCCUUCCGCAUGAACGUCUACCUGGACGAGAGGGACGCCUUCGACGCCGACGCCGCCGUCUCGUCAUUCAUGGGGAGCACCUACGGCUACAGCACGCUCCCAAAAUGA
rnacentral:rRNA from 1 species